rnacentral:rRNA from 1 species
ACGCUCGACACCUACGGGAGGCAGCAGUGAGGAAUAUUGGUCAAUGGGCGCUAGCCUGAACCAGCCAAGUAGCGUGAAGGAUGAAGGCUCUAUGGGUCGUAAACUUCUUUUAUAUAAGAAUAAAGUGCAGUAUGUAUACUGUUUUGUAUGUAUUAUAUGAAUAAGGAUCGGCUAACUCCGUGCUAGCAGCCGCGGUAAUCUGAGCGGGCUGGCAAGC